GCGGGCGUGGCGGAACUGGCAGACGCGCAGGACUUAGGAUCCUGUGGGGAAACCCGUGGAGGUUCAAGUCCUCUCGCCCGCA
rnacentral:tRNA from 1 species